rnacentral:lncRNA from 1 species
ACGCAUGUAUGCCGGCUUAUCUUACACCAACCUAACAAAAAGUGGAAAUUACCAUGUACCUCUUCCCCAGAUAGAUGACUAUCUUCUGAUCCAGAUUCACUUGGUGAAUCAUCAGAGAAAACCUGAAACCAUCAUGCACAGUAUUCAAACUCGGAAUCAUCAAUUUCUCCGAAUUAAUUAAGAACAAAUCUUUAGAUAUAUUAGGGGAAUAAUGCGGUUGUCUCAAUUACCAACACAAGGCCUAAUUGCUAUUCAAAAAUAGGUUAAUUAAGCCCUGAUGCUGAAAGACCAAUCCAAUUCUUACCAUUAUACUACAUAAGCUAAUCGCAGUCUUUGAAACUCAGGGAUAAUGCCCCACCCCCCCACAACCCCCCACAACCCCACAUCUAUCCUUCUCCGUUAUAAAUACUAGGAUCGAACAUGUGACCUAAGUCACAAGUCUCUCACCCUUUGCCACUUGAACUAAGCCCUGCCGUGCUUACCAUCAUAGUACAACUUAAUUAAGGGCAUUUUCAAUAAUUAGGAAAAAGGAUGCCAUCCCAUAUUUUUAAAAGAGUCGAAGCUUUUUUAAGUCAAAUUUGCUAACUAAAUUUAGGUACCAGGAGCUUAACCCAAUGCUUAGAGUCAUGCUACACCGAAGCUUUGAGGCAUUUUCAAUCAUCAAGGAGAAAAAGAAAAAAGAAGCAAUCCACUAUUGCUAUGAUAAAAAUUGAAUCUUUUUACGUUAAACGUAGACCGAAAAUAGUUAGCUUUGAUUUCUUAAAUAGUGAUUUCGAAUUAUUACCUCGUCAUCAGCGUCAGAGACAACAGGAGAUUCUACGGAAUUUUCUUCUUCUGCUGCUUCUUUGCUUGUUUCUACCGCCUCUUCAAUUUUGUGCUUUUCCAAUAAGUUAUCUGUUUCUUCUUUCUUUACACCUUUCUGCAGCUUUUUCUGAAGGCUACUCUUCUUUGGAACCUUCAUCUCUGUUACAGUAUCUCGAGAAGAAGCAGAGGAGUUAUAGUUAUGGAGCAAAGGGUUUUAAGAGGGAGGUGAUAAAGAGAAGAAGGCUAGGGUUUUAGAGCCGAGGCGAGGAAUUC